UAUGUUAUUUAGUUUACAAAACUUAGUUUACAAAUUUAAUCUUCCUAGCAUUACUCUUAGGGAAAUUGUUGAUAUCAGACUUUUCUGACUGAUUAAUUUAAAAUUAGAGUAAAUUACAUAGUAGCCCCUCAGGUUUGAGGUCAAUUACAACCCCAUACAACAACUUUAAAACAUUUCACUUUCAUACAUCCAGUACCAUUUUAUUUCAAAAUAACACCUCCGUUAGAUUUUCCAUCCAUUAAUCUGUUAAAUGCUGACGUGG
rnacentral:lncRNA from 1 species